rnacentral:rRNA from 1 species
GCCUCAGUAACGGCGAGUGAAGCGGCAAGAGCUCAAAUUUGAAAUCUGGCCCCUUUGGGGUCCGAGUUGUAAUUUGCAGAGGAUGCUUCGGGUGCGGUCCCCGUCUAAGUGCCCUGGAACGGGCCGUCAUAGAGGGUGAGAAUCCCGUCUGGGAUGGGCGGCCGCGCCCGUGUGAAGCUCCUUCGACGAGUCGAGUUGUUUGGGAAUGCAGCUCUAAGCGGGUGGUAAAUUUCAUCUAAAGCUAAAUACUGGCCGGAGACCGAUAGCGCACAAGUAGAGUGAUCGAAAGAUGAAAAGCACUUUGAAAAGAGAGUUAAACAGCACGUGAAAUUGUUGAAAGGGAAGCGUUGUCCACCAGACUCGCCCGGGGGGGUUCAGCCGGCACGUGUGCCGGUGUACUCCUCUCCGGGCGGGCCAGCAUCGGUUUGGGCGGCUGGUGAAAGGCCCCGGGAAUGUAACACCCUCCGGGGUGCCUUAUAGCCCGGGGUGCCAUACAGCCAGCCUGGACCGAGGCCCGCGCUUCGGCGAGGAUGCUGGCGUAAUGGUGGUCAACGGCCCGUCUUGAAACACGGACCAAGGAGUCUAACAUCUAUGCGAGUGUUCGGGUGUCAAACCCGUCCGCGCAGUGAAAGCGAACGGAGGUGGGAGCCUUUCGGGGCGCACCAUCGACCGAUCCUGAUGUCUUCGGAUGGAUUUGAGUAAGAGCAUAGCUGUUGGGACCCGAAAGAUGGUGAACUAUGCCUGAAUAGGGCGAAGCCAGAGGAAACUCUGGUGGAGGCUCGCAGCGGUUCUGACGUGCAAAUCGAUCGUCAAAUUUGGGUAUA